GGGGAAUUUUCCGCAAUGGGCGAAAGCCUGACGGAGCAAUACCGCGUGAGGGAUGACGGCCUAUGGGUUGUAAACCUCUUUUUUCAGGGAGGAAUCAAUGACGUGUACCUGAAGAAUAAGCAUCGGCUAACUCCGUGCCAGCAGCCGCGGUAAGACGGAGGAUGCAAGUGUUAUCCGGAAUCACUGGGCGUAAAGCGUCUGUAGGUGGUCUAAUAAGUCAACUGUUAAAUCUUGAGGCUCAACCUCAAAAUCGCAGUCGAAACUAUUAGACUAGAGUAUAGUAGGGGUAAAGGGAAUUUCCAGUGGAGCGGUGAAAUGCGUAGAGAUUGGAAAGAACACCGAUGGCGAAGGCACUUUACUGGGCUAUUACUAACACUCAGAGACGAAAGCUAGGGUAGCAAAAGGGAUAGAUACCCCUGU
rnacentral:rRNA from 1 species